rnacentral:lncRNA from 1 species
AAUUUCAAAAACAUCAUUCCAUAUAUCUUUCAAUAUCUAUGUUUCAUUUUAACUCUUCUAUUUCUAACCAUUCUCAUCUACUAAUCAAAUAGAAUUCAUUGCAGAUAGAAAUGGCAACAUAACACAAACGCAUACCUGACAUCAAACCUGGAGAGUCUGGCUGGAUUGUAGAAGCAGUAGUUUCAGAAAAAUGCUCUCUCAACAAAGCUCGGCAUAGUCCAUUGAAAUACCAACACAUUUGGUUAAUGGAUCCCAUGGUAAAUCUUCUCACAUAGUUUAAGUUCCUUUAUUUGAAACUUUGAUCCACAAUAAAUCAAAAUCAUUAACUUUAAACAUCUGUUUAUCAAUUUUUUAAUCUAAAUUAAGAGCACAUAAUGUCCUCUCAAACUCUUUCUUCAUUUGAAAACGAGAUUGCUAGAUUUAAUUCAUUCAAGUUGUAAUAUUUUUAAGUCUCAAAUGUAGCAACUUCCAGAAUAUAUAAAUGAAAACAUGUAUAAAAUUGGAUUCUAAACAUGUAGAUAUACCCUUCUUUUGAAAGAGGAACACCACU